ensembl:lncRNA LINC01138 long intergenic non-protein coding RNA 1138
GAGAGCUCAUUGGCCCCUUCCAAAGUAUGGGGAUACAGCAGGAAGUUGCCAUCUAUGAGCCAGAAGGGUGAACCUCACCCCAGAUGCUGAAUCUGCCUUGAUAUUGGACUUCCCAGCCUGCACAACUGACAAACUGGAAACACAGGUUAUAUCACCAAGGCUUUGACUGAAACAUCAUGUUUUCAGAUAUGACCAGAAGGCUUUAGGGGACUAAAGUUGGCUUUAUGGAACCAAUAAAGUACCAUCUUGGAAAAACUGGCUCUAGGGUUCCCAGACUUACAGUUCUGUUUCAUCAAAUGGAAAUGGGACAUGGACAGUUUCUCCUAUCCCAUGCAGACCAUGCUCCUGAAUUAAAACUGCAGAAUGUGUUAAAGCAUCAUUCAACAUCGUGAGCACAUUUGAGAUACUGUACAGGACAACCUGCUUUUCAUAUUCUCUGUGAAUUUCAAAGACGACUGGGAUUUUCUUCCUCCUCUACCACCCUGAACAGCAAGACCAAUACAUCCUGUAUUUCCUCCUCUUCAGCCUACUUGUGAAGACAAGGAUGAAGACCUCCAUGAUGAGCCAUCUCCACUUAAUGACUGUCUCACAUUGGCCGGCAACUUGUUCCAGUUUGUGUCUUCCAGAUUACAAUAAUUCCAUGUAAAGAUGAUGCUGGCACAAGGCUUUCAACCCAUCCCCUCUUCUGACCCAGAAGAUAAAGACAUCCUACCUUUGAGCCUUUUAGAACAGGUAUCCAGGGAUUUUACCUCUCCAGUGCUAGGCAGGGUCUAUGCCCAUAACAUCAGCAGGAAGCAGUUACAGAAGAUGAACCUCCGCCCUUCUGCAAGCCCCUUAAGAUUAAGGAGGAGUAUAUAAUCUCUGAUGGGGAAAUGAGGUAGGAGACCAGAAGGACUUAUUUUCCAUUCCCAACCCCAUUGAACAGAGCAGGAUCUGGUCAAAACAGGGUGCAGUGGAGAAGCCUGCUGAAACCAGCAGAUGAUGAUGAAAGUGACCUCUAGUUGCCCUCACUGCUUAUGAGCAUAAAGACACUACCACUGGGACCAUGGCCAGUUUACAAAUGUCAUGGCAACACACCUUGGCAAUGGCCUGGAAGUUACUUUAUAUGGUUCUGGAAACUCCCUGCCCCUUUCCCAGAAAGUUCUGAAUAACCUACCUCUUAAUUGGCAUGCAAUUAAAAGUGGCUCUAAAUACAACUAGCUAGUAGCCCACAGGCACAAACUCUGGGCACACUGCCUAUAGGUUAGCCCUGCUCUGCAAGAAGUAGCACCAGUUCAAUAAAAGUUGCUUUCUCUCACCA